ensembl:lncRNA
GUAUUUGGACCCAAGCAGUCGAUGGAGAAGGCAAUGGCACCCCACUGCAGUACUCUUGCCUGGAAAAUCCCAUGGAUGCAGGAGCCUGGUAGGCUGCAGUCCAUGGGGUCGCUAAGAGUCGGACACGACUGAGCAACUUCACUUUCACGCAUUGGAGAAGGAAAUGGCAACCCACUCCAGUACUCUUGCCUGGAAAAUCCCAUGGAUGGAGGAGCCUGGUGGGCUGCAGUCCGUGGGGUCGCUAAGAGUCGGACACGACUGAGCGACUUCACCUUCACUUUUCACUUUCAUGCAUUGGAGAAGGAAAUGGCAACCCACUCCAGUAUUCUUGCCUGGAAAAUCCUAGGGAUGGGGGAGCCUGGUGGGCUGCCAUCUAUGGGGUCGCACAGAGUCGGACACGACUGAAGCAACUUAGCAGCAGCAGCAGCAGCAGUUUAACUCAGAGCAUGGAUUCUUAUUUGCUCUGUUGCUCCCCCUCCUGAGGCACAGAUCAAGCAUAGGUACCUGCCCUAAAGGAGCCUAUGGGGUCAGGUACACAAAUAUAUAAAAUUACAGUCACAUCAGGGUUCUCUCAGAGGCAAAACUACAUUUCUUUCCUAAGAUACCUUAUCAGGCUUCUUUGAAAAGUAAGACCUCAAAUCCCCUCUUCUGCAGAGAAGGUCAGCGCCCGUUGGAGGGUAGGGGCCUGGGCAGCAGCAGAAUAAAAGCUACAGGACUUGGUCUCUGGAUUCUGGAGCUUGUCAGGGACUCAUGAGAAGAUUCCCUGGUCACAGGAGGACAAAAAGACUUCACACUACUCAAUGUGCUAAAAUCUGAAUCCUCUUCGUUGUCUCAAAUAUUCAGUGAGCCUGUCGCACACACACCUUUGAAUCAGUGUUGUUUGAGGGAGUGAAAGAAUGGAAAUAGGAUGUAAUGUGGUCUGACUGGUGCAGAAGAAAAGCUUGCAGACAGUAAAGCAAGAUAAUUCAUAAACGGAAGAGUCGAAGCAGCAGAAGUGAAUGGGGAAAUAUCACCGCCCAUACCCUUGCCCUCACAGGACCCCACCACCAAAUCAUUCUGGGAUUGUCCCUCCUGGACUUCCCACUGUGUGUGGGAUAGUGUUCAAGCCAAUUUUGGGGUCUCAAAGGAUAACCACAGCGGACAUUUGGAUUACACAAUACAGGGUGCCUGAAGUAGAGGGCGCUUCUAGCACGUACU